GAGAGAGAGAGAGAGAGAGAGAGAGAGAGAUUUCUUCACAGCAACUAGAGGAAGGAUCCAAAGGGAUCGCAUUGAUCCUAAUUAAGAUUCUCCGGCAUUGACAUCAUCGGACGCAUCGCCGGUGUCCUCGCCGGCGGAAAUUCCCGGCGCCGACGAGGCUACCCAACAAGCAAGCAACUUGUUCUUACGCCACGAAGACAAGGACCAUAUAAUUUUCUUUUUUCCCUUGGUUGCUUCUUAAUUACAAGUAAUUUACAUUGUGUAUUUUAACCUAUAUAUAUACACAUAUACGUAUGUAUCUUCAAAGAAA